rnacentral:ncRNA from 1 species
GAAAGUAGAGGUCGCGCGACCGAUGAGUAAUCCGGCGGAUGUCCGUUUGCAGGUGAUCCCGGAUGAAAGGCGGUCGUGCCGAAGCGGGCAUAUGAUACGGCAUAUGUCUGCUGGGCGCAAGCUUAACAGGCUUGCGACUGUCAUCGGGUGAUGGAGAGCUACUUA